UGCCCGCAAGGGAAUGUAGUGAGAGGUGCUGCAUGGCUGUCGUCAGCUCGUGUUGUGAAAUGUUGGGUUAAGUCUCGCAACGAGCGCAACCCCUAUCGUCUGUUGCCAGCAUUAAGUUGGGCACUCUGACGAGACUGCCUGGGUUAACCAGGAGGAAGGUGGGGAUGACGUCAAGUCCUCAUGGCCCUUAUGUCUAGGGCUACACACGUAAUACAAUGGCGCGUACAAAGGGAAGCGAACCUGCAAAGGGGAGCAAAUCUCAAAAAGCGCGUCUCAGUUCGGAUUGGAGUCUGCAACUCGACUCCAUGAAGUUGGAAUCGCUAGUAAUCGGAGAUCAGCACGCUCC
rnacentral:rRNA from 1 species